GUGGGGAAUAUUGGGCAAUGGGGGAAACCCUGACCCAGCAACGCCGCGUGAAGGAAGACGGUUUUCGGAUUGUAAGCUUCUUUUAUCGGGGACGAAAAAAAUGACGGUACCCGAAGAAAAAGCCACGGCUAACUACGUGCCAGCAGCCGCGGUAAUACGUAGGUGGCAAGCGUUGUCCGGAUUUACUGGGUGUAAAGGGCGUGUAGGCGGGACUGCAAGUCAGAUGUGAAAUACCAAGGCUUAACCUUGGGGCUGCAUUUGGAACUGUAGUUCUUGAGUGAUGGAGAGGCAGGCGGAAUUCCUAGUGUAGCGGUGAAAUGCGUAGAUAUUAGGAGGAACACCAGUGGCGAAGGCGGCCUGCUGGACAUUAACUGACGCUGAGGCGCGAAAGCGUGGGGAGCAAACAGGAUUAGAUACCCUAGUAGUCC
rnacentral:rRNA from 1 species